rnacentral:rRNA from 1 species
UACAGAGGGUGCAAGCGUUGUUCGGAAUUAUUGGGCGUAAAGGGCGCGUAGGCGGUGCGGUAAGUCACCUGUGAAACCUCUGGGCUUAACUCAGAGCCUGCAGGCGAAACUGCCGUGCUUGAGUGUGGGAGAGGUGCGUGGAAUUCCCGGUGUAGCGGUGAAAUGCGUAGAUAUUACUAGGAACACCAAUGGCGAAGGCAGCUUGCUGGGCUACUCCUGACACUGAGGUACGAAAGCGUGGGGAGCGAACAGG